CGCUUUAUGAAUGUUGGUCGGAUAGUGUUUCCGGGCAAGGAGAGAGAAAUGAGGUCGACGUGGAGGCGGUGGUUUAAGAAGGUUCCGGGGGACAUUCGCUGUCAAACAGGCGAAGAUCACUUAAAGUCAGACUGAGGCAGGGGGCCGAGAAUGGAGAAAAGCUGAGCAAUGCGUGUGGCUCGCUAGACUCGCCUCCUGACAUAGGUCUCCAGAAUGCCCAGUUUCCAUGCCGAUCUCCGCCAGCGGCACUCGACGCAUUUCCAGGCUUCAAACUGACCCCAAAGAAGCUUCGCAGUCGCACAAUCUCUGGGACUGUCUGCUUUGACCCUAGCAGGCGGCAGUCAAGUACUGGUGAAUCCCGAGAUGUUGCAGAACAGUCAUGCUGCCCACAUUGACACACGAAGAAUUGUGUUGGAGAAAAUUUCAAAUUGAAUGACUCCAAAGUGUCUAAGCCACUCCCCCAACAUCUGACGAACACGGGUGGAUGAAAUGUCUGAUUGGCACCUGAACCACUCAUCCUGAAUUCAAGGAGGCACCUUGCCCACCCCGAACCGUUCACAUUGUGUUUUCCUAACCUUCCUUCCCCUUCUCAACACUUUCUUAGAAGCUCGCUCAGUCCCAGUUCCCGCCCCCUUCCUCAGUCAAGCUAUUUCUUUUGGCCAUUUUCUUUUCCUCUCUUCACAUCCACCUCCACCAUCACCCUUCUAUUAUCAGCAUUUCUUUUUCUGCAGGAGACAAACCUUAUGUCCAAAAGAAAUUUAUUUAUGGGGCCUUGUUUAAACUAGCAGUCUGUUCUUGGCUUUUUCUUCAGUUUCUUUCAAAUGGUGUGUGUGUUUCUGGGUGUGUGUUUCCCUAUUGGUGCUUAUGGCAGUUAAUGGACAGGAUACAAGAGUUAUUCAUAUUCAGGUUGUGUCUUGCCUCCAAGAAAAAAAAAAUGGAAUCUUACUGUGUCUUUUCAUAGUUUCAUUUCUUCUUCUUCUAAAUAAGCUUCUAGGCUCUCCAGUUCCUACAAUCAAAAAGGAAAAAAUUAAAGUUGAAACCCACGCAGAGCUAAUUAUUCUUGAAAAUGCUUGUUAAUGUCCUAAAAUUAGCUUUCUCUUCAGUUUUAUUUUAAAGCAGUGAUCUGAAUGUCGACUAAAGAUCAAUGGUUGCAUAGUAAGAGUUUUUAGAGUCCCUCUUCUUUGAACUAUUGAACAAAUACUGUUGAUCUAUGGAGACAUUCCCACCAUGGUGGGAUUUUUUCACAGUUGGAUGAGCAUUUUUAGCAUCUGAAAUUCAAAAUAGGUGAGCAGGUGCUUGAGUUUGUGUGUUUUGAUAGUAAAAGAAGCUGAUCAUAACAGAGUAUAGGCAGAAAACUCUGCAGGCCUCUAGAAUCUGUCUACCUGGGUUCCUCUCUUGAUAUCACUAUUUUCUAAUUCUUAGAUUACCUUUCCUACUCUGUACAAUGGAGAUAGUGAUUGUACCUACUGGUCUACAGGAAGAGUUUGAUCCUCUGUCUGAAAAUAAUUGCCAUGUAGCCUAGCACAGUGUUCUCAGUUCAGCACUGUUGACAUUUUAGGCCAGAUGAUUCUUUGUUGUAAUUUGCUGUCCUGUGCAUUUAGCCACCUCCCUGCCUCAACCCACUACACACAAGGAAAACCCUCUCCUCCCCAAAUAUGACAACCCAGACAUCUCCAUACUUUACCAGAUGUUGUCCAGAAAGUAAAAUCACCCCUGACUUAGAACCACUGGCCUUGCACCUAGCAAAAACCACAGAUUAGGAGGCAGUAUAAGCAAUUGCUUAAGAUUAUUCGUGUCUGGAGUAUGAACCUCUGGCAAAUUUUGCUUCCCUAAACCUCAGCAGUAAAAUGGGAAUAAUAAUGCUAGCUUCUGAUAAUGCUAGUUUUCUAAGGAGUAAGUACAAUUAUAUAAAAGCAAUUUUCUUGGUGCCUGGCACAUGGUAAGUUCAGAACAUGAGCUUCUGGUCUCAUUUUUUUCCUGAGAGGAGAAGGCAUUGAGCUAGAUGAGGAAUGGCAUAUUUUGACUUAUUUGCUGCUGCUCUUUCUCUGUCUCAUGGCAGUCAACAUUAUUAAGUCAAGGCUGGCCUCACUGAGUUCAGAUAGGGCCUCUGAAUCCUUCUUAACGUAGUGCUCCAGGAAGCCACUUCCGAUAGAUAAGAGUCAGCAUUUAAGAGGAUGCUGCAUUGCUAUCCCAGAGGUAGAGGAUUUUCAGAUCUCUAAUACUCUCAAAUCUUCUGGACUAGUGAUUACAUGUAAGAAGGAACAAUUGUCAUCAACCCCUUUAUGAAGGGCAGGGGACCAAGGCCCAGAGAGUUCCAACGUAAUGCCCAUAAUCAUACAACCCUGGAGCUUGUUCUCCUACAGUCUUAAGCAGUCAAUGAUUGCAUAGUAAGAGUUUUUACUUUCUUAAGCAACCCUCUUUUUGUCAUAUCCAUUACCUGGGGAGGCAGAGAAAACAUUUGUCUGGGGCAGUGAUGCCACCACCCACUGAUGCUGUUCACUCCCACUCAUCUCCCUCCUGCACUGUAUCUAGAAAAAUGAAUCAAAUCAUUUCGGCAUUUCAUUGCACAGGAACACUUUCAAAAGUGUUAGUAAGCUCAUGACAAGAAUUGUGCAAGAACUCAUCAAUUCCUUGAUUAAAUUUAGAUCGACUACCACCUUUGUAUAAGCAGUCAUUCUUAGCAGGCACUGCAAGAGAUAAAAAGGUGAAUCAGCGGGUGUUCCUGCCCUCAUUGCUUUUAUAGUUUCAUCUUUGGGGCAGAUCAAACAUGGAUAUAAAUAACUACAAUACAAGCUAAAAAAAAAAUGGAAAAGGUCCUAAGAAAGGUACCAAAAAUGUGUUCAGAGAAGGGAGAAAUUAUUUUGAGAAUUAGGAACCGAGAGUCACUUCCUCCAUGUCUCCGACAUUUUUAACUUUUGAUCAAAAAUUUGUAUUUAUUACAGUAAAGUUGUCCUUGUUGAGGAAGUUGUCAUAUUGUUAGGUUUCCUGUUCACAACAGCUCCUGCUUAAUGUAAGUGGAUAUUAUUGGUGCACCUAAAGGUCACAGUUUCUAAUUCUAAAUGAGUCAUUUUUGUCAGAUGUUUAAAAUUUUUGGGACGUUCUAGAUUGCUCCAGAAACAAUAGGAUAGCUUCCUUCAAAGCAUUAGACAGAACCAGUUUUUGAAGCAUGUUAUACAUAGUAGCAUACUUGUAAAAAUAAACAGCAGUGGCAGAAGAAUAUCAUGUCAUAUACAUUAAACCAUGAAACAGCAUUUCCUUCAGGACCAAACUACCUUAAGAGUCAGGCUAGCCACUUAAUUAUCUUUAAAUACUAACUCUAGAGCACGUGUACAUUCUAUACUAUUAUCUGCUAUAAACACUAAGUAUAGUAAGAGCCCACAUGUAGUAAGCCAGGCCACUGUCAAUUGGGUUGCCGAGAUUGCUACUGCUAUCAGGAGUCUGCCUGUCAAAUCAGAAAGAUUUGGUAGAACUGCCAGGUCCAUACCCCUCUGUUACAAGCCACACCAGCAAAAUGUAUGCCUUUAAGCUUCUUGCUGUCCCUUAUUACCUCAUUUCCAAAUUCAUGUUUUGCAUGAAUGCAUCUGAUUGGUACACUCUAAACCACAUCUGCAAAUCUGUCUGCAAGGAAGGCUAAGAAAUGCAAUUUUUACCUUUCCAGUUUUGUGCUAUGUGAAGACACAUUACAGGGAAGUUGGGUUAGAAGAUGGGUGAGCCAAGCCACAGCAUCCACCAUUUCUUUUCCUCCAACUCUCCAACAAAUAUGCUGGUAGAAAAAUAUUUUAUAUUUUAUAUCCACUAUUUUAGUCAGCUUUGUCCCUGCUGUGACUAAAGGGCCUGACCACAACAAUUGUAGAAGAGGAAAAAUUUAUUUGGGGACUCAUGGUUUCAAAGGUCUCAGUCCAUAGACAACAGGCUCCUUGGGGUUCAAGGUGAGGCAGGACAUCAUGGCAGUAGAGUGUGGCAUAGGGAAGCAGCUCGGGUAAUGAUCAGGAAGUAGAGAGAGAGAGAGAUAUCUCCACUUACCAGAUACAAAUAUAUACCCCAAAGCCAUGUGCCGUCCCCACCUCCUCCAAUUACACCCCACCUGCCUUCAGUUACAACUCAAUCUCGUGAGGUGAUUAAUUCACUGAUUGGGUUAGGACCCUCAUAACCCAAUUAUUUCUCCUGCAAACCUUCUUGCAUUGUCUCACACGUGAGCUCUUGGGGGAUAUGUCACAUCCAAACGAUAACAUCUACUUUGGUGUUUUAUAAUUUUUAGAGGUUAACUCAGAAGACCUAGUUCUUCAUGAAUCCCUCCAAGUUCCCAUCUCUGUAUCCACAAGAACUACCAUGCUGGUCCAAGCCACAUUUUCUUGCCUGGAAAUUUGUAACAGACCAGGAACAACCUUUACCUUCCUAUAAGCUGUUCUGUACUCUGAAGCCAAGUGAUUUUUUUAAGAACCCAAGUCCAAUUAUGAAACUUUUCCAACAGUUUCUCAUCACUCUUAAGAUAAAGGCAAGACUACUGGAUUUCACGAGCUCUGGCACUUACCAGCUUCAGCUUGUGCCACAUGACCCUUCCUCUCCACACUGCCAUCCUCUAGAACUUCAUUCCUUCCUAGGGUCCUAGCACAUGCUGUUCCCUUUCCUUCCCAGAAUGUUCUGUUCCCUUCUCUUCAUUCGUUUGAUGCUGGCUCAUCUUUUAAGUCUCAUUCAGCCAUCUCUUCCUUCAGAGAAGUCCUCCUUGACUUUCAUGAUCAGGUCCAUUGAGCUGAUCAUUGCCCGGGUUGAAACAGGUUUUUUGUUUCUGUUUUUGGUUUUUGGCAAAGGGGGAGGUAAAUUUUAGUAGACCUACCAGAGUUGUGAUUGUAUUUAUUUUUGUGAUUUUCUGAUUAAUUUCUGUCUCCUAACUGGAUUGUAGGCAUUACAAGUUGGAAUAUUAUACAUGCUUUUAAUCUUCUAAAGUCCAUUUUAAUAUAUAGCAUAGUU